rnacentral:rRNA from 1 species
AUUGAACGCUAGCGGCAUGCCUUACACAUGCAAGUCGAACGGCAGCACGGGGGCAACCCUGGUGGCGAGUGGCGAACGGGUGAGUAAUGCAUCGGAACGUGCCCAUCGAUGGGGGAUAACUGCGCGAAAGCGUUGCUAAUACCGCAUACGACCUACGGGUGAAAGCAGGGGACCGCAAGGCCUUGCGUCGAUGGAGCGGCCGAUGCCGGAUUAGCUAGUUGGUGAGGUAAAGGCUCACCAAGGCGACGAUCCGUAGCUGGUCUGAGAGGACGACCAGCCACACUGGGACUGAGACACGGCCCAGACUCCUACGGGAGGCAGCAGUGGGGAAUCUUGGACAAUGGGCGAAAGCCUGAUCCAGCAAUGCCGCGUGUGGGAAGAAGGCCUUCGGGUUGUAAACCACUUUUGGCAGGAAAGAAAUCGUUCGUGCUAAUACCAUGGAUGGAUGACGGUACCUGCAGAAUAAGCACCGGCUAACUACGUG